rnacentral:rRNA from 1 species
GACAGAGGAUGCAAGCGUUAUCCGGAAUGAUUGGGCGUAAAGCGUCUGUAGGUGGCUUUUUAAGUCCGCCGUCAAAUCCCAGGGCUCAACCCUGGACAGGCGGUGGAAACUACCAAGCUGGAGUACGGUAGGGGCAGAGGGAAUUCCUGGUGUAGCGGUGGAAAUGCGCAGAUAUCAGGAGGAACACCGAUGGCGAAGGCAGGUCUCUGGGCCACUACUGACGCUGAGAAGCGAAAGCAUGGGGAGCGAACAGG